rnacentral:rRNA from 1 species
AACGAACGCUGGCGGCAGGCUUAACACAUGCAAGUCGAACGCAUCCUUCGGGGUGAGUGGCAGACGGGUGAGUAACGCGUGGGAACGUGCCCUUCAGUUCGGGAUAACCCAGGGAAACUUGGGCUAAUACCGGAUACGUGCGAGAGCAGAAAGAUUUAUCGCUGAAGGAUCAGCCCGCGUCUGAUUAGCUAGUUGGUGGGGUAAUGGCCCACCAAGGCGACGAUCAGUAGCUGGUCUGAGAGGAUGAUCAGCCACAUUGGGACUGAGACACGGCCCAAACUCCUACGGGAGGCAGCAGUGGGGAAUAUUGGACAAUGGGCGCAAGCCUGAUCCAGCCAUGCCGCGUGAGUGAUGAAGGCCUUAGGGUUGUAAAGCUCUUUCGUCCGGGACGAUAAUGACGGUACCGGAAGAAGAAGCCCCGGCUAACUUCGUGCCAGCAGCUGCGGUAA